GACACAACAAGCACAAAACGCGGCAAUUAGGCCACACUCUUGUGAGUUGGACGAGAGAGAAACCAAUAUUCUACUCUUUCUUUCUCAUUUGGUCCCACCUAUUCUCCUCUCAAAUACUCGGCACGCGUGAAAUUUCAUCCGACGAUUGGUCACUAGCUGCUUGCCUUCCUCCUCUCUCUCUCUGUCUUCCACAUGGACCUCGUCCACCACUGCGGACACCCUUACAGUUUACAGAGCAAUAGAAAUGGAUGUGCUUUUCGGAUUGGCACUUCAGCAAUUGGGCAUUCACGUUGUAACAUCUGGACUGCACAUCUUCUGCAACUGCAAUGAGUUUUUGCGUGUUCAGAUAAAAGAAAGCAAAUUGAAGGGAGUUGAUGGCUAUAGCCGCUAUACUAUACAAGAAUAGGCUGCUGAGAUACAAAGGCCCCCAAAAGCCAUCAUAGCCAACUAUUCUGAAAGAAGAACGCAUGCAAUUUCGUUGUUUAGGGGGAGAGGAGGUCACAUGGUGAGCCCUGCUGCUUCCACUGCCUUUCCCCUUCUCUUUUUCUGUCAGUUAUCAUGCGCUCGUUUUCCCCCCUCUUGUGAUUUGACACACAUAGCCCUAUAUUUAUGUAGUACUUUAAAGAGUGAUGUGAUAUUUUUUCUCUCUACAAUUAUUAUUUAUGCAUCGAUGGAAACAUUUCCAUGUACCUUUUUUUUUAUUUCUCUGAAAUUGACAAGCCACUUGGCUCCAUCUACACCAAUAUUCUG